AUAGAGACUCAGAGCUGCAUAUCAAUAAGCGGAGGAAAAGAAACUAACAAGGAUUCCCUUAGUAACGGCGAGUGAAGCGGGAAGAGCUCAAAUUUGAAAUCUUCAAGGUUUUACCUUGACGAAUUGUAGUUUAAGAAGUGUUUUCUGUUGAGAUUUGAGUAGCAAAGUUCUUUGGAAAGGGACAUCAUAGAGGGUGAGAAUCCCGUAUUUGACCAUUAUCUCCAGCUUUGUGAUACACUUUCAAAGAGUCGGAUUGUUUGGGAAUGCAGUCCAAAAUGGGUGGUAAAUUUCAUCUAAAGCUAAAUAUUGGCGAGAGACCGAUAGCGAACAAGUACCGUGAGGGAAAGAUGAAAAGAACUUUGAAAAGAGAGUUAAACAGUACGUGAAAUUGUCAAAAGGGAAGCGUUUGACACCAGUGUUGUUUUCUCGAAAAUCAAUUAAAAAGGCCGGAUUUUGUGUUGUAUUGACUUUAUCAGCUUUCUGCACUUUUUUCUUGUCUUUCUUAAUGCACUUUUCGUUUAACAAGUCAACAUCAAUUUCUUUUGUUGUAAAAGGGUCAUUGGAAGGUGGCUUUCUUUUCGGAGAAAGUGUUUAUAGCCUUUGGCCUCUGCAAUCGGAGAGAUUGAGGUCUGCAGCGUAGAUCCUUCGGGGUUAGAUACAUUUGUGCUAAGUUAUAGCCUUUCAUAGACAACUUGUUGACUAUGAUCAGUCAUGUAGCUUACUCGCUUAUGCUAUUUUACCUACGCUUAGGAUGUUGACGAUCAGCUGAGCGCG
rnacentral:rRNA from 1 species